rnacentral:rRNA from 1 species
UGCAGUCGAACGGCAGCAUGAUCUAGCUUGCUAGAUUGAUGGCGAGUGGCGAACGGGUGAGUAAUACACCGGAACGUGCCCUGUAGUGGGGGAUAACUAGUCGAAAGAUUAGCUAAUACCGCAUACGACCUGAGGGUGAAAGUGGGGGACCGCAAGGCCUCAUGCUAUAGGAGCGGCCGAUGUCUGAUUAGCUAGUUGGUGGGGUAAAGGCCCACCAAGGCGACGAUCAGUAGCUGGUCUGAGAGGACGAUCAGCCACACUGGGACUGAGACACGGCCCAGACUCCUACGGGAGGCAGCAGUGGGGAAUUUUGGACAAUGGGCGAAAGCCUGAUCCAGCAAUGCCGCGUGUGUGAAGAAGGCCUUCGGGUUGUAAAGCACUUUUGUCCGGAAAGAAAUGGCUCUGGUUAAUACCUGGGGUCGAUGACGGUACCGGAAGAAUAAGGACCGGCUAACUACGUGCCAGCAGCCGCGGUAAUACGUAGGGUCCAAGCGUUAAUCGGAAUUACUGGGCGUAAAGCGUGCGCAGGCGGUUGUGCAAGACCGAUGUGAAAUCCCCGAGCUUAACUUGGGAAUUGCAUUGGUGACUGCACGGCUAGAGUGUGUCAGAGGGGGGUAGAAUUCCACGUGUAGCAGUGAAAUGCGUAGAGAUGUGGAGGAAUACCGAUGGCGAAGGCAGCCCCCUGGGAUAACACUGACGCUCACGCACGAAAGCGUGGGGAGCAAACAGGAUUAGAUACCCUGGUAGUCCACGCCCUAAACGAUGUCAACUAGUUGUUGGGGAUUCAUUUCCUUAGUAACGUAGCUAACGCGUGAAGUUGACCGCCUGGGGAGUGCGGUCGCAAGAUUAAAACUCAAAGGAAUUGACGGGGACCCGCACAAGCGGUGGAUGAUGUGGAUUAAUUCGAUGCAACGCGAAAAACCUUACCUACCCUUGACAUGCCACUAACGAAGCAGAGAUGCAUUAGGUGCUCGAAAGA